AGAGUUUGAUCCUGGCUCAGGAUGAACGCUAGCGACAGGCUUAACACAUGCAAGUCGAGGGGCAGCGGGGUAGGAAGCUUGCUUUCUGCCGCCGGCGACCGGCGCACGGGUGAGUAACACGUAUGCAACCUGGCCGUGACAGAUGGAUAACCGGGAGAAAUCCCGCCUAAUACAACAUAAUGCCGGGAGGGGACAUCCCCUGCCGGCCAAAGGGGGCGACCCCGGUCACGGAUGGGCAUGCGGCGCAUUAGGUAGUUGGUGGGGCAACGGCCCACCAAGCCGACUAUGCAUAGGGGUUCUGAGAGAGAAGGUCCCCCACAUUGGAACUGAGACACGGUCCAAACUCCUACGGGAAGGCAACAGUGAGGAAUAUUGGUUCAAUGGCGGGAAGGCUGAACCAGCCAAGUCGCGUGAGGGAAUAAGGCCCUUCGGGUCGUAAACCUCUUUUGCCAGGGAGCAAUGCCGUCCACGUGUGGACGGAAGGAGAGUACCUGGAGAAAAAGCAUCGGCUAACUCCGUGCCAGCAGCCGCGGUAAUACGGAGGAUGCGAGCGUUAUCCGGAUUUAUUGGGUUUAAAGGGUGCGUAGGCGGCCUGCCAAGUCAGCGGUAAAAUUGCGGGGCUCAACCCCGUACAGCCGUUGAAACUGCCGGGCUCGAGUGGGCGAGAAGUAUGCGGAAUGCGUGGUGUAGCGGUGAAAUGCAUAGAUAUCACGCAGAACCCCGAUUGCGAAGGCAGCAUACCGGCGCCCGACUGACGCUGAGGCACGAAAGUGCGGGGAUCAAACAGGAUUAGAUACCCUGGUAGUCCGCACAGUAAACGAUGAA
rnacentral:rRNA from 1 species